CCCAUUCCAUUGAUAUCAAGGACAGGGAGAAUUGGACAUAUGCAUUUCGUUGUAGUAUUCUUCGUAUAUGAUUCAGUAAGAGAGGAGAAAAUAUUUAAUUUGAAUAAUAAUAAUUUAAAUAAUGUCCUUAUUAUCGGGUCAUUUAUUACUUAUCAUCGCCUUCUCCAAAUUUGUUGGAAUUUCCUCCUGCGGUCCACGUAACUUGAAGCCCGGACUGAAUGAAGAUGAGAAUGGCCGCUUUGUUCCCGUCUGCAGAAACUACCCGAUAACCGGCGAAGAAUAUGCUGUACUAACUAGUAAGUUAUCUACAGUAGUCUCUUCCAUGGACUUAAUUAAUUCCAUCGAAAUCACACUGUUGAAUUCUAAUAGAUCUUUAGACUUUGUUGGUACUUGGUACACUGAAGCACGUGGCAUUUGCAGGUUUCGAAGCAACUCAAAGACGUAAGAGGGCUUCCAUCUCAGACGAAAUAUUUAGCACUGCAGAAAUACAGAUUUCAAGCUUGACUGGUACUUCUGAAAUAGACGCUGAAGCUGUCAGAAUUGUGACGUCUGGAAAGUUCACAGCCUCAAGAGUAGUGAUCGGCACAGUCACUUCAGGCGGCCCCAGAGAAUCACGAAAGCCAACAUUGUUGGCCAUGGAUAACUUCUUCUUUCGGGGAGGAAUUGAACUAAACCACCAAAUAUACUUCUUUCACUGCCUUACUUCACCCAUUUCAGUGAACAGAUUGCUUGGAAUUUUUACAGAAGCAAAUUUUGACCUCUUAGAAUUAAAAUUGUCAGAGCCUUAUCACAAUGGUACGUUGAGCCAAAAGAUGAUUGUUGUCAGGGGUCUUGGCAAAAAUAAGGGCAUGUUGGUAAAAGAAAAUUUCGCGUCUCUAAGUGGAAUUAGCAUGGUGGGUGGAGUAAACUUGCGUCGUUAACGAAAUUGUGUUAGUGUAUGUAUGUAUAUGUAUUAAUAUGUAUGUAAAUACAUAUGUAAGUUUGAUGGUCUAUUCUUUGGCAGAUGCUUCCUUAACUUACAUAUCUAUUAAAAUAUAUAACUGUCUACCUAAGUAGAUCAUAAAAUUUAUUGAAGUCAAAGGUUGAAGACACCUGCAUGAUUGUUAAGAAUAUUUCUCAUUGUUAGGAAUAUCUCAGGAAUAUAUGUCAUUAGAAAUAUUGAAAAUAUUUAACAUUCUGAACAACAUUAAAACCAUGCAAAAAAUUUGUGAGAUUCAAAGUUAAA